CCCUCUUUCAAUCCCCAUUAUCAAUUGCAAAAAUUCUUCUUUGAAUCCUCAUCAGUAAUACGAAUUCGGUCCUCAUCUCAAUGCGAUUCUUCAUCUUUCCUACAUCCAUUCAUCGUUGUCUUCUACCACAUAUCGGUCAUAUCAAUUGGAUCCUAUAUAUCCAUUAACGCUUCGUUCUUUCUCACAAUUCCAUUUUCUCACAAACCCUAAAUCCAAACCUCUUCAUCUACAUAUAUCUUCUUAACGCACCAAACGGUCACUAGUGUCAGGUUCCGGGGGCAACGAUGGUGAUUCAGUUCGUUGAUUGUUGUGUAGUGGGUCAGGUGGAGGCGAGGACGACAAUGGAUGACGGCGAAGAGAUAGGCUGCGAUUGGUGAGGUUGUGGUAUGCCUGUAGUUGCACCUAUUGAUGCAGUUGAAGAGCCAGCUAUUGAUGAACAACAAGAUGGUCGUGUUUAUAAGUUUGUAACGAUCUGAAUUAACUCUUGGUUUUAGUUGAGAUCGUUGUAUGAGUUUGGUUUUGAAAGCUCAAGGGGUGCGAUUGUAAAAUUUCAAGGGGGCGCUAAGAAUUUUCACUACAAUUAAGUUUUGUCAAUGGUUCCGGUACCCAAGCUUGCAUUGAGGUUAUAUUUGGAAUGUGCUGAGGGUUCCAUGGUGAUUCCGGCAAGAAGGAUCUUCCGAUAUGAUUUUUGAAUCAGCAGUUACGAGUCGAUUCUCCAAUAUAGAUCCGAUGGUUUCUCACAUGUUUACGGCUGUAUAGGGGCUGCAGAGACCACUAGCGGCGUGAUUUGUGAACGUUUCGCGU
rnacentral:lncRNA from 1 species